AGGAGGGGACAGUGCGGAGGGGGCGGGGCCGGGAGGAACAAAGGGAGGCUGGGCGGGGCCGCGCGGGAGGAGGAGGGGAUCCAGCGCGACGCCUUGCGGCUGCAGCCUGCCUCGCGGCUGCUGAAGACUGUCUGAAAGCCCACGGGGCUCGUCCCAAACACCGAGCUCGGGUCUAUAGGGCUGAGAGCGAGGCAGGUCUGUUUUACACACAGGGGAGCUGAGGCCUAAAGAGCACGAUCACAUGCCGCCGGAAGUCACUUAAUCGCAAUCCCUCGUUCAUUUUGCAGUCAUUCUGCAAACAUUUUGAAGCAUGUCUGAUAAAGGCGCUUCAGGGCUCUGGUUCGCGCAGUUCCCCACCUGCCAGCCCCACCUGACAACCUGCCUUAAAACCUCCGCCCUCAUCUCAUUCAAGCUUUGCGGAAGGUGACCCCACGCUCUGGGAUCCCUUCUCCCCGGCUUGCUGCACCUCCUCUGCCUCUGGGGUGUCCCCUUGCCCACCUGCACGUAGCGGGAGGUGUGCUGAGCCAAGGGCCUUCUCUGUGGAAGACACCCCCCAAAACCUCAGCCUCUCCCAGCUUUAAGCCGCUACCCAUCCGUCGUGCCGGGUCCCAGUCUCCAGCCCUGACCUCCCCAGGCCUGAAGAGGCCUCACCAGCUUGUCAUGGCCAAAACAAAGUGCUUCCUUCAAGGCCCCCAGCGCGCUCCUCCACGUUCUUCCCCCGGGUCGACAGCCCCUCUGCCCGCUGCUGCUCAGGGGAAGCGCUGCGAUCCCGAGUCCUCCUCGCUCCGCUGCUCCAGCGCUCAGGCUGGCUCCUUGCAGCCCUGGCCCUGCGGGAAGUUCCUGUCCUAGUAGCCGACGCCCAGGGAGGUGAGACCCUGUGGGACCCCAGAGCGCCGACUCUGGCCAGAUUCUGUGCCUAGCGCUGGGCCUGGCACCCUCAAAUGAUGCCCUGCACACACCUGUGCACACUCGUGUGCACACACAUGCGCACUGAGGACAGGCUGGGCUCUAACCCCACUUGCCAAGUGAGGGCCUCCGUGUCCACAGGCAGCACCCACCCCUUCCGCUCUGUGGUGAGGGACGUCCUCGGGAUCAGGACCACAGAGUGACCCUGUAACUGUAAAACGUGUCACCCCAGGCCACAGGCCUCUGCACUGCUGUGUCAUCUGCCACACUCUCCACUGUGAGCCUGGCCAGGUCUCACCCUAUGUGUCACUGUCCCUGGAAAGGCGUCAGGCCACCCCCUCACCAUGUACAGCUAUGGCAGUCACACCCUAAGGUGACCCCGGACAUCGAGUGCAGGCAGAACCUGUGCCUGGAUUCUAAGCGAUAGUUGGUGGUAAAGGUGACGGGGUGUGAACCCCAUGCAGGACUCCGCCUGCGUGCACAAGAGAGGCUGCACCUGCUGAGCGGGCCUUUGGAGAGGACCCUGGUCAAAAAGGGACACCAGGAACUGAGGACUGCCUGCAGCCACAGCCAGACCAAAGUGGGACCCUUGGUCACGCAGGCCAGGGAAAAAAUUCUACCAAGAACCUGAAUGAGCUGGGAUGCCACGGAUGCAGCCAGCAUACUGGGUGCCGCUGCAGGGACUGGACCAGCUGGUACCACUGAAGCCCUAAGCUAAGGAAGGAGCCUGCAGGCCUGGUUGUUCUGUCUUUAUCUCGAGGCCUGGCCUUGGACAGAUGGGCCUCCAGCCACAGCUGUGAUGUGUUCUCAAACUCUGCGCUGACUCCCUAGAGGGCCCUGCCCCGCCUGAUGGCCUGGACUAUUUCUACCUCACUUAGCUGUCUGUGAUAGGAGGAGGCUGAAAGGGAUCUCGCAGCCAGGCCAGGGACAGUUUGGAGCAAACUCUGAGGCCCAGUGGGGCCGGCCGGCGUUCUGGAAUUCGUGAUUCUGUGAUUGAGUACAUUCAUUGCUGAAAGAUUAAUUUAUAUAAACUGGCAAUUGAAAAAAAUAUAUUUAAACAAAGAUAAUAAUCAGUCAAACUCUAUCAUUCCCUAAGUAUUUUGCUAUAGUUUACUAUUCUCUAUGCCCUGGAGGAUUUUGUAUACCCUACGUCUGUAUGGUGGGAACUUUAUCUAACUGUGUGCUGCUAGUGUCUCUUCCUGACUCGGCAGUCAGCGAUUUGCCUUGGUCAUUUGAAAUC